rnacentral:rRNA from 1 species
AUUGAACGCUGGCGGCAGGCCUAACACAUGCAAGUCGAGCGGAUGAAGGGAGCUUGCUCCUGGAUUCAGCGGCGGACGGGUGAGUAAUGCCUAGGAAUCUGCCUGGUAGUGGGGGAUAACGUCCGGAAACGGGCGCUAAUACCGCAUACGUCCUGAGGGAGAAAGUGGGGGAUCUUUGGAGAUCACGCUAUCAGAUGAGCCUAGGUCGGAUUAGCUAGUUGGUGGGGUAAAGGCCUACCAAGGCGACGAUCCGUAACUGGUCUGAGAGGAUGAUCAGUCACACUGGAACUGAGACACGGUCCAGACUCCUACGGGAGGCAGCAGUGGGGAAUAUUGGACAAUGGGCGAAAGCCUGAUCCAGCCAUGCCGCGUGUGUGAAGAAGGUCUUCGGAUUGUAAAGCACUGUUAGUUGGGAGGAACGGCAGUAAGUUAAUACCUUGCUGUUUUGACGUUACCAACAGAAUAAGCACCGGCUAACUUCGUG